rnacentral:rRNA from 1 species
UACAGAGGUCCCAAGCGUUGUUCGGAUUCACUGGGCGUAAAGGGCGCGUAGGCGGUCGGGCACGUCUGAUGUGAAAUCUCACAGCUUAACUGUGAAACUGCAUUGGAUACUAUCCGGCUCGAGGAAUGGAGGGGAGACUGGAAUACUUGGUGUAGCAGUGAAAUGCGUAGAUAUCAAGUGGAACACCAGUGGCGAAGGCGAGUCUCUGGACAUUUCCUGACGCUGAGGCACGAAAGCCAGGGGAGCAAACGGG